AGGGAUUUUCUAACUCUGUCUGACUGAGAUAACGUUUAGGGUAUGGUUCCCUAUAUACUAGGACCAUUCGCCCUUUUUUCGGGUACCUAGUAAGUUUUUCACAUGUAGAUUUCAUCAACAAAUAACCAACAAGCACAUACUAAUACCUCAUGGUAUAUUCACAUAUCAAUCAAACGAUAUUUAAGUAAACAGUACAAUUUCAUACAUCAACA
rnacentral:lncRNA from 1 species